UAGUAGUCAGAGAUAUCCGAGUUCAUUGAAAGUUGAAUAACCGACAUUAAACGGCCCCAGAAGCGGGCGACGGCCGCCUUGUAAUUCUCCUUUAAAGUGAAAUGCAGUUUACAGUGAUUACGACGGAAAAAGAGAAAGAGAGAGAGAGAGAGAGAGAGAGAAGCGCGCGGCAGCAAUUAAAUAGUACGUUUCUGAUGUUGCUACUUAUUAUUAAACUCGCGAGCGAGUGAGCGAGUCAACCAGUUGACUUUAAACCACACGAUAAAUUAGUCUUACAGUGAAUUACGCCCAAAUAUAUAACACGUGCGAAACCCAGAACUGGAAUGUCUCAUGAUAUGAUCAAGGCCAAAACAAUUUUACGCUCUCCUCGUCGCAACACAUGCCGCAUUAAAAAGUGACAAUCCCAAUGGUGCAGGCAACAGAUCUUUUCACAAAAGAGAUUUCAUCGGAAAAACUGAUAAAGGUAGUUUAUACUUCUUUGGAGAUACUUUUCAUUCCGUUACGGCAAUUAUUGUAAUAUCUUUGUUCACUCUGCCAAGUGAAUUGAUUGGCGUGACUUUAGAUGACUUCACUAUCUGAAAGAGGUUAAAGUAUGACUCGACGUGAUUUGAAGUUACGUGAGUACGGCUAAAUGCGUAUGCUGUUUAUGUUAUAUGGCUGCUUCUUGUACGUCCUUCGGGAAAAAAGGAAAGACACAAAAGAGAUGACGACGAGAAAAAAAAAAAAAAAAACAACAGCAGAACCGCCGACAGAUAUGGAGGUAAAUACGGCAACAGCAGCAGCCGCAGCAGCAGAGACUUGUAUUGUGGAAUUAUAAUGUAUCACAAUAUAAGAAAUUCGAGAAUUUCAAUGUAAACAACUCGUCUUCGACUCAACACCGCGACGACAUCGAAAAUACGCAUAUACGUAACGUGUAUACAUGUAUGUAUGUACAUAUUAUACGCUAUGUAAAUAUUGUAAAUUUUGAAGAAAAAAAAAAAAGAGCCAUUCUUUAUCUCAACGCGAAAUAUGUUACGAACGGUAUCUCGGUACUCAAGUUUACUGGGAAAAACAAAUCGUUUUCGCGUUUCGAAAGAAACAAGUUUCAUAAGUCAGGAUUUUGGAGGUAUUUUACGCAGGGUAUCCUUGAAAUUUGAAUUAAAAUAACUGGAAAUCAAGAGUUGACAAUAAUUCAACGUUUCUAUCUGACCA